rnacentral:lncRNA from 1 species
UGGCCCUGCCAACCUUUUCACUAGUGACACUGAGGAUGAUGUUCUCCAGCUUUCUCUGUACCCUUAGCUGUGACCUGGCCCAGCCUGCCAGAAGCAGGAGACCUUCACAGUUCUUCACCAAAUGGAAGAAUCUUCCUUUUCUUCCUGUCUGAAGGACAAGAAUGUUUUCAGGUUCUCCUGGAGCAGAUGGAUGGCACCAAAUUCCAAAAGGCUCAGGCCACCAAUAUUCUCCAUGAGAUGAUCCAGCAGAUCUCCAAUGUUUUCAGCACAAAGGGCUGAAAUUCCUCACUGGGCUUGGUCAGUAGCUAGAAUUUCUGGAGAACUGUUUGGAACAGGAAAUGGAAGAGACCUUGGGUAGAACUCCAGCCUGGCUGUGAUGGGUUAUUCCCAAAGGACCAGUCUCUAGCUGAAAAAGAAAGUACAUAGCUGCUGUGCCCAGGACAUUGUCCUACCAGAAAUUAAGAAGUAAAAAUCAGUAAGUUAUUUCUCUGUGCUAAUAGGCUUAUCAGAAAACUCAGAAGUUUGG